rnacentral:lncRNA from 1 species
AAAAGAGGGACGAAAGAUACCAAAAGGGACAGUCAAACUCAUAAAUCUAAAACAAACUGACAACGCCAUGGCUAAAAAUGAAAAGGACAAACAAACAACAGCACACACGACACAACAUAGAAAACUAAAGAAUAAACAACACGAACCCCACCAAAAAACUAGGGGUGAUCUCAGGUGCUCCGGAAGGGUAAGCAGAUCCUGCUCCACAUGUGGCACCCGUCGUGUUGCUUAUGUGAUAACAAAUCCGGUAAAUAGUCUU